AAAUGUAAACUAUUCAUCAACGAUACACUAGGUUUCUAACUGUAAACUAUUCAUCAACUAUACACUAGGUUUCUAACUGUAAACUAUUCAUCAACUAUACACUAGGUUUCUAACUGUAAACUAUUCAUCAACUAUACACUAGGUUUCUAACUGUAAACUAUUCAUCAACUAUACACUAGGUUUCUAACUGUAAACUAUUCAUCAACUAUACACUAGGUUUCUAACUGUAAACUAUUCAUCAACUAUACACUAGGUUUCUAACUGUAAACUAUUCAUCAACUAUACACUAGGUUUCUAACUGUAAACUAUUCAUCAACUAUACACUAGGUUUCUAACUGUAAACUAUUCAUCAACUAUACACUAGGUUUCUAACUCUAAACUAUUCAUCAACUAUACACUAGGUUUCUAACUCUAAACUAUUCAUCAACUAUACACUAGGUUUCUAACUGUAAACUAUUCAUCAACUAUACACUAGGUUUCUAACUGUAAACUAUUCAUCAACUAUACACUAGGUUUCUAACUCUAAACUAUUCAUCAACUAUACACUAGGUUUCUAACUCUAAACUAUUCAUCAACUAUACACUAGGUUUCUAACUCUAAACUAUUCAUCAACUAUACACUAGGUUUCUAACUCUAAACUAUUCAUCAACUAUACACUAGGUUUCUAACUCUAAACUAUUCAUCAACUAUACCCUUGAUUUUUGAGAUUACUAUUCAACAACUACAUGUAGGUCACAACUGAUGAUGCUAACAUAUCAUUUUAAUUUAAAUGAAGCAUUAUUUUUUUGUCUGGACCUAUGUUCUUAUGGACUUCACUUCUGUUUUGUGAUGCAUUAUUUGAUUUAAAAAAAACACGCUUUUAGUGGUUUAAAAAAAUCGUUUCCAGCUUUUAUUCAUUGUGUAUUUGAUUUUAUUCUUGUUUAAAAAGUUAAUGUUUUUAGACACUUUAUAGUAUAUCUAUAAAGCCACAUGUUCACAUGUCAUAUCUGUUAAGUCAUAUUUUAAACAGAAGAAUGACGUUUUUUAUCAUAAUGUUAAUACAAGUCACAAACAAAUAUAUCUUAAACGUGUUACAUAUGUUUGUAUUACCAAUUUAUAUUUGCAAGGAAGAUAAUAAAAUGUUUUUUUUUCUUUUUUUAUGAUCUGUAAAACUGAUUUUGUUGCCAUACAAAUGAUAAAAUAUUGCAUUAUUUUUAGUUGAUAUUUCAUUGUUUUUAAUUUUCUUGCGUCAAAGUCAACAUUUAAGAGUUUAAAUGUGUUUAAGUUUCACUUUAGUUUGAAUUAAAAAACUUAAGUAAUUAAUUAAAUGCUGCUUAAAAAUAAUUUCAAGAUAAAUUCAUUAUGAUCUUUUUUUCUACACAUAAGUUUUUAAUGAGGAUUAAUUAUUUUUAUAAAAUUGAAGAUUUUAAUGGUUGUCUCUUAGAAUUUAUUACUUACAAAACUUUAUAUAAAUUAUAUGUUUACAGAAUAUUUUUUAAUUAAAGGAAAGGCUGCAAAAUCAUUAUUAUUCAUGUGAUAUUAAUUGUUGUGUAUUUUGUGGGUGGAAAGAAUCACCGAUUUAACGCAAACACAUAGGAAAAUAACCACUUAUUACUAAAAAAAAAUUUGCAAAGUCUGAAAUCCACGAUCUUUAUGUGUCCACGAAAUUUUGAUUUUCUGAAGAAAAAAAAAACACCUAAAUUUUAUGUUGACGAAGAUAAAUGAUUUUACAGUAAUAAUUUGAUCCGAUUUGAAGAACUAUUAUUUUGAACCGCUUGUUUAAAUAUUAAAUGUUGUGACAGUAAAUUAUUUCUUGUGCUAUUAUUAGUUUGUAAUUACAUGUACAUUUGCAGUAAACAACAAAAAGAACAUCA